rnacentral:misc_RNA from 1 species
AAGUCGUAACAAGGUCUCCGUUGGUGAACCAGCGGAGGGAUCAUUAAAAAGAGUCUGAAAGACCCUAUAACCUACCGUGCUCCCCUACGUGGAUAACAGGAAAGCCCUCCGGGGCAUUGGAAAUCUGAGAAGUUGAGGAACUGCGCCCCGGCGCAUGACCAAACGAAAAGUUACAACCCAUAACAAUGGAUCUCUUGGCUCUG